CAUGUCUUUUUGAUAAUAAUUUAAAGUCUAAUCUGCUCUAUGAUUAUUUAAAUGGCUGCGGUAUUUUGACCGUACGAAGGUAGCAUAAUAAUUAGAUUUUUAAUUGGAAUCUGGAAUGAAUGAUUGGACGAGAAAUUUACUGUCUCCUAUUAAUUUUUAUUUGAAUUUUAUUUUUAAGUUAAAAAGCUUAAAUUUUUUUAAAAGACGAGAAGACCCUAUAGAGUUUAAUAUUAAUUUUUAAAUAGAUUUUUUGGUAUUUAUUUAUUUUUUAUUAGAUAGUAUUUAAUUGGGGUGAUUUUAUAAUUUAAUUAACUUUUAUUUUUUUAUACAAUAAUUAUUGAUUUUUUGAUCCUAUUUUUUAGAUUAAAAGAAUAAAUUACCUUAGGGAUAACAGCGUAAUAUUUUUGGAGAGUUCUUAUUCAUAAAAAUGAUUGCGACCUCGAUGUUGGAUUAAAAUUAAUUUUUGGUGCAGAAGCUUAAAAAUUAGGUCUGUUCGACCUUUAAAAUUUUACAUGAUCUGAGU
rnacentral:rRNA from 1 species